rnacentral:rRNA from 1 species
AACGAACGCUGGCGGCAGGCCUAACACAUGCAAGUCGAACGGACGUAGCAAUACGUUAGUGGCGCACGGGAGAGUAACGCGUGGGAACCUACCUUUUGGUUCGGGAUAACAUCGGGAAACUGGUGCUAAUACCGGAUAAGCCCUUCGGGGGAAAGAUUUAUUGCCGAAAGAUGGGCCCGCGUUGGAUUAGCUAGUUGGUGAGGUAAUGGCUCACCAAGGCAACGAUCCAUAGCUGGUCUGAGAGGAUGAUCAGCCUCACUGGGACUGAGACACGGCCCAGACUCCGACGGGAGGCAGCAGUGGGGAAUAUUGGACAAUGGGGGAAACCCUGAUCCAGCCAUGCCGCGUGAAUGAUGAAGGCCUUCGGGUUGUAAAGUUCUUUUGGUGGGGACGAUGAUGACGGUACCCACAGAAUAAGCUCCGGCUAACUUCGUGCCAGCAGCCGCCGUAA